rnacentral:rRNA from 1 species
GACGAACGCUGGCGGCGUGCUUAACACAUGCAAGUCGAACGGAAAGGCCCUGCUUUUGUGGGGUGCUCGAGUGGCGAACGGGUGAGUAACACGCGAGUAACCUGCCCCUGACUUUGGGAUAACUUCAGGAAAAUGGGGCUAAUACCGGGUAGGAGCUCCUGCUGCAUGGUGGGGGAUGGAAAGUUUCGGCGGUUGGGGAUGGACUCGCGGCUUAUCAGCUUGUUGGUGGGGUAGUGGCUUACCAAGGCUUUGACGGGUAGCCGGCCUGAGAGGGUGACCGGCCACCUUGGGCCUGAGAUACGGCCCAGACUCCUACGGGAGGCAGCAGUGGGGAAUAUUGCACAAUGGGCGGAAGCCUGAUGCAGCAACGCCGCGUGCGGGAUGACGGCCUUCGGGUUGUAAACCGCUUUCGCCUGUGACGAAGCGUGAGUGACGGUAAUGGGUAAAGAAGCACCGGCUAACUACGUG